rnacentral:rRNA from 1 species
AACGUAGGUGGCGAGCGUUAUCCGGAUUCACUGGGCGUAAAGCGAGUGCAGGUGGUUUUGUAAGUUGGAUGUGAAAUUUCCCGGCUUAACCGGGAAGGGUCAUUCAAUACUGCAGGACUUGAGGGCAAAAGAGGGGGGUGGAAUUGCCGGUGUAGUGGUGAAAUGCGUAGAUAUCGGCAGGAACACCUGUGGCGAAAGCGGCCCCCUGGUUUGUUCCUGACACUCAGACUCGAAAGCUAGGGUAGCGAACGGG